AAAUUAUUCAGCUCGUGUUAUGAAAUUAUUCCCAGCUGACGCGAACGAUCGUAACAGCACAUUCGGUCACAUAUUCUCUUAAGCACCGAUACAAGCGUGUUCGGCUAGCAACGAGUUUUCUCAGUAUCGAAGAUUUUCAAUUUUCUCUGCCUCAACCAGUCGGGCCGAAUAUAGGAAGUUCUAUUUUUUACAGCAGUUGUAGUGAGAUUUUCUGAUCCAAACGAAAGACGUAGCGGAUAAGUUGUAGUAUUGGUAGCAGACACGCUCCUAGGUUUCAGUAACCUGCAACUCUCACAAGCAGUCGAGACUCUUCCUCUAUCCUCUUCCUCUAUACGUUUCAAUGGAUGUGAAUACGUCCAUCAAAUGUGGAGAGGCAGCGUGCUUUCAAAUAGUUAUGAGCUUUUCGUUGGAUUAAUGGAAAUGUAUAAUGCGAUUCGCCUCGACCAUGUUCUGAAUAAUGCAGUAGUGUUUCGUAGCAGUUUGAAGCUGAUUCUUCGUUACAUCGAUUUUCAUUCUCUGAUUUACGGAUUCAACAAGUUUCAUCAAAGGCAACUUCACUCCAUUUUCACCUUCUGUCAAAAAACUCCAUCUUCAAGUCGUGUAGGAAAUAGCUUUCGCAGAGUGCAUGACGUAGUGUUAAUCCAUAUGAUGAACAAAGUCUCGUCAAUCGAUAUUUCUAAAGGAAUAUCGCUAAAUAAUUCUCUUCUAUUCCAGAUAACUGGUUCCACUAUAAGUUUUCUUGUAUUACUUAUGCAAAUUAAAUUAUCCGAAUAAUUGUGAAAGUUUGAUUUUUUGUGUGGGUGGCUUGGGGUAAUUUUAAACAAUGUUUAGAAAAAUAUAAUUGGAUAUUAAAAAUAUAAUUCUAGCAAUAUGUUAGUGACAAUGCAUUCAAUACAGUUUAUUAGUAUGGAUUUUAUUAUCAAAAAUGAUUUUGAAUUUAGUCGUAGGGAACUACCAUAUUUAAGCGAUGUGGCCUAUGCUCGUCCGUUGAAGAAUACAAAAUUGAUAAUAAUGAAUCAAUCUUCAGAAAGGGAUGAACGGCAUCUCUUUUUCUAAACGUUGACUUCAAAGUAAAAAAGUAACUGAUUAAAAGCUUGCGCUCCGAAUUUGAUGCUGAUGCCAGGGUUCCGAUUUCGGAGACUAUUUUUUACUCUCCGGAUUCGAUUCCAGAUAAAUUCUGAAAUUCAAAAUCGAUUCCGACCAAAACAUCAUUUAUCCAAUCGCAGGUUACUAGUAAAGUAAUUACAUGCUAUCAUAGAACUAGAACUGUUAUGAAGAAAUAAGUCAACAAAAGUAAAACUAAAUUAGCUAUUUAGUAUAUUGUACCAGAGUACUCUACCAGAGUAGAGUAGUUUUAUUAUCAUACAUAACAAUCUUGUAUAUAGUAUUCUAACAUAAAAAGGUAGCUAAGUAACCUUCUAUACGCGGACGAUUCAAAGCUGUUCCCGCCGAUCCGCGACCGGCAAGAUCAACUCCGCCUUCAAGCCCUCCUGGAGCUCUUUGAAUGGUCUUGAAUUGUGCGUCGAGAAGUGUGUUGUCAUUACGUUUGCAAGAAGCUGUGUCAGGGAUCUUGGAGUGCUCCUUGAUGAAAAGUUGAGCUUUCACGACCAGCUAGAGAACGUAGUCACUAAGGGAAACCAAUUGAUCGGCUUACUAAUACAAAUUACACGUGACAUCACUGACCCAGUCUGCAUCAAGACGCUGUACUGCGGUUUGGUGCGAUCAGUGCUGGAAUACGCUUCGGUAGUAUGGUGGCCAUCAGCUCCACGCCCGCUGGCCCAUUUGGAGUCAAUCCAGCGUAAUUCCCCACACGGUUUGCCUUGCGCUUCAGGAGUGUUUAGGUUGAUUAUGCCGGUCUUUGUGCGCUCUUAGUCCACGAAUUUCUGAAUCAGCGACACUGCAACGCCCAGAGACUGUUGCGGGACUCCUGGACAAACGGGUCGACUCACUGGCGCUUCUAUCUAGGCUCAACAUUUAUGUCUCGCCGAAGUCGCUCCGAGCUAGAUCUCUACUUGACGUGGAGGAGCGUCGCACGCGCUUUGGCUCCUCUGAUCCGUUUCUUCCUAUGUGCCGUGAGUUCAACGUUAUCCGUGAUCGUCAUCAACCAGACAUAUCGCGUGCCGAGCUACUAAACAAUAUCCGUGACGUGCGUCCUUCUACGUCCUAAUUUUAUUGACCUAUGACUAAACGCAUACAUGUAUUUUGCGAAAAUGUCAAAUAUUAUGUAUAGUGUUAAUGCUUUGAGAGGGUCAUGCGGUCCGUUGAAUUAAAUAAAACAAAUAACAAAUAACAAAUAAAUGCUUUUCCCUGCAUAAGAAAAAUAAUUUAUUACUGUGAAGUUACAUAUACAGUCAGUCCAAAAAGUAUUCGUCUAGCUGAAUAUUUUACAGAAAAAGGCGAAUUAUGGCCGCAAUAGGCAUGGGGUGGUAAAAGUAAUGAUGAGGUUUGCUAAAGGGACCAUCAAUACACACGUUUUGCUAAAAAAUAAGCAUUUAAAUAGUGCAAUAGCAACCAAAAUACAUAAAAAACUAAAAACAGUCGUUUGAUGGGCGCUCAAAAAGUAUUCGUCCAUCUAGCUUUUUAAUUAUUUACGCUGGACAAACACAACUUAGACGUGAAUUAAAUUUAUUAUUAUCAAUUUCCUGGUGACUUCCUUCUAAAAUAAUGCAUUUCUGUUGUUUCAAUUGCACUUCAAGCGGUCAGAGAGGCACUAAAGGCGGGGGAGUUAAAUGAUUGGAGCAUGAUGGCGAAAAUCGUAUCUUUAAC